rnacentral:rRNA from 1 species
GAAACCCAGUGCAAUUCGUUGCACUAUUGCAUGGUGAAUACAUAGCCAUGCAAGGCGAACCGGGGGAACUGAAACAUCUAAGUACCCCGAGGAAAAGAAAUCAACCGAGAUUCCCCCAGUAGCGGCGAGCGAACGGGGAGGAGCCCAGAACCUGAAUCAGCGUAUGUGUUAGUGGAAGCGUCUGGAAAGUCGCACGGUACAGGGUGAUAGUCCCGUACACAAAAAUGCAUAUGUUGUGAGUUCGAUGAGUAGGGCGGGACACGUGACAUCCUGUCUGAAUAUGGGGGGACCAUCCUCCAAGGCUAAAUACUCCUGACUGACCGAUAGUGAACCAGUACCGUGAGGGAAAGGCGAAAAGAACCCCGGCGAGGGGAGUGAAAUAGAACCUGAAACCGUGUACGUACAAGCAGUGGGAGCACCUUCGUGGUGUGACUGCGUACCUUUUGUAUAAUGGGUCAGCGACUUAUAUUUUGUAGCAAGGUUAACCGAAUAGGGGAGCCGUAGGGAAACCGAGUCUUAACUGGGCGAAUAGUUGCAAGGUAUAGACCCGAAACCCGGUGAUCUAGCCAUGGGCAGGUUGAAGGUUGGGUAACACUAACUGGAGGACCGAACCGACUAAUGUUGAAAAAUUAGCGGAUGACUUGUGGCUGGGGGUGAAAGGCCAAUCAAACCGGGAGAUAGCUGGUUCUCCCCGAAAGCUAUUUAGGUAGCGCCUCGUGAACUCAUCUUCGGGGGUAGAGCACUGUUUCGGCUAGGGGGUCAUCCCGACUUACCAAACCGAUGCAAACUCCGAAUACCGAAGAAUGUUAUCACGGGAGACACACGGCGGGUGCUAACGUCCGUCGUGAAGAGGGAAACAACCCAGACCGCCAGCUAAGGUCCCAAAGUCAUGGUUAAGUGGGAAACGAUGUGGGAAGGCAUAGACAGCCAGGAUGUUGGCUUAGAAGCAGCCAUCAUUUAAAGAAAGCGUAAUAGCUCACUGGUCGAGUCGGCCUGCGCGGAAGAUGUAACGGGGCUAAACCAUGCACCGAAGCUGCGGCAGCGACGCUUAGGCGUUGUUGGGUAGGGGAGCGUUCUGUAAGCCGUUGAAGGUGACCUGUGAGGGUUGCUGGAGGUAUCAGAAGUGCGAAUGCUGACAUAAGUAACGAUAAUGCGGGUGAAAAACCCGCACGCCGGAAGACCAAGGGUUCCUGUCCAACGUUAAUCGGGGCAGGGUGAGUCGACCCCUAAGGCGAGGCUGAAAAGCGUAGUCGAUGGGAAACAGGUUAAUAUUCCUGUACUUGGUGUUACUGCGAAGGGGGGACGGAGAAGGCUAGGCUAGCCGGGCGACGGUUGUCCCGGUUUAAGCAUGUAGGCGGAGUGACUUGGUAAAUCCGGUUGCUUAUCAACGCUGAGGUGUGAUGACGAGUCACUACGGUGGUGAAGUAGUUGAUGCCAAGCUUCCAGGAAAAGCCUCUAAGCAUCAGGUAACAUUAAAUCGUACCCCAAACCGACACAGGUGGUCAGGUAGAGAAUACUCAGGCGCUUGAGAGAACUCGGGUGAAGGAACUAGGCAAAAUGGUGCCGUAACUUCGGGAGAAGGCACGCUGGCAUUAGGUAAAGAGACUUGCUCUCGGCGCCGAAGCCAGUCGCAGAUACCAGCUGGCUGCAACUGUUUAAUAAAAACACAGCACUGUGCAAACACGAAAGUGGACGUAUACGGUGUGACGCCUGCCCGGUGCUGGAAGGUUAAUUGAUGGGGUCAGCCGCAAGGCGAAGCUCUUGAUCGAAGCCCCAGUAAACGGCGGCCGUAACUAUAACGGUCCUAAGGUAGCGAAAUUCCUUGUCGGGUAAGUUCCGACCUGCACGAAUGGCGUAAUGAUGGCCAGGCUGUCUCCACCCGAGACUCAGUGAAAUUGAACUCGCUGUGAAGAUGCAGUGUACCCGCGGCAAGACGGAAAGACCCCGUGAACCUUUACUAUAGCUUGACACUGAACAUUGAGCCUUGAUGUGUAGGAUAGGUGGGAGGCAUUGAAGUGUGGACGCCAGUCUGCAUGGAGCCAACCUUGAAAUACCACCCUUUAAUGUUUGAUGUUCUA